rnacentral:lncRNA from 1 species
AGUCUCUCAGAAAGUUCUAUCCUACGGUCUUACACAGAAAAACAACAGAAAAUUGGAAAAGCCUAAGAAAGUAACAUGUAACGAAAACAUGAAACACGAAAACAAUGCACCGGUGUGAGAGCUCACCAGCACUUGGGAGGCCAAGGCCGGAGAAGCGCUUGAGCCCAGGAGUUUGAGACUAGACUCGGCAACAUAGUGAGACCUCCUCUCUCAAAAAAAAAAAAAAUAAACAAAAAUUAGCCGGGCGUGUCAGCACACGCAUGCAGUCCCAGCCACUCAGGAGGCUGAGGUGGGAGGAUCAAUUAGAGGUUGCAGUGAGCCAAGACGGGGCCACUGCACUCCAGCCUGGGCGACAGAGCGAGACCCUGUCUCAACAAAGAAAAAGGAAAAAGGAAAGGAAGGGAGAAAGGAAAGGAAAAAGGAAAGGAAAGGAGAAAUGAAAGGAAUGGAAAGGAAAAAGGAGAAAGGAGAGGAAAGGAAAAAGGAGAAAGGAGAGGAAAGGAAAGGAAAGGAAAGGGUCAGAUAAAUCACCCUUAACCAAGAAAUUUUAGGGAAGUCUUCACAGAGAGUAGGUAUCUGCUGGUUCUCCAAGGUGGGAAGAGUUGAUCCGUGGCUUCAAACUCCAGGUCUUUUUUUUUUUUUCUUUGAAAAGGUCUUGUGUUAGGGAGGAACUGGCAAGAGAGCACAAAGCCUGUCCCAAAGGGCUCUUGAAGCACAUUCUUUUUUGCAGAUGAGCAUAUCCCUUUAGCAUAUGAGCAAGAAAGCGGUGGCUAAAAAGCCUGGAGGUGAGCUGGAGCCAGAUCAGAAGAAACCUGAACAUCACUCUCCUAAAAAGGCUGGACUGAAAUUAGUGGAGGCAACUCACCGACGACUUCUGACAAGAUGGCAGAAUUCAAUGUUCGGGAAGAUUAGUUACGUGGAGAUGGGCUGGAUGUGGCCUGGGUGGGAGUGGGGGUUUGAGUGCCACACUGGCCGGGAUUCAGGGAGCAGAUACUGGAAAUGACGACAAAGCCCACGACUGGGAGAAGGGAGAAAUGUUAAAACGCUGCCAAGUGACUAAGGACUAAUUCUAUUAACAGAUUAAAAAGUUGAUUUCUAGUAUCUAUUCAGGGAAGGACAAAAUACAGGAUUCUGUUUUACUUAUAAAUGUAGUUUUGGCAUCCCACAUCGCUGCAGCACGCUGUACUGCCGGAGACUAAUUCCUCUGCGUUCCUAAAGGCUACUUCCUGCUAGCCAAAGCACAUUUUUAAAAAGUGAGAGUCAUGGUUCAUAAUCCAUAUUUGGCAAAAAGCACAGGCAGUGCCAAGUUGAAUUUGGGUAAGCAGUUUGGCAUAAGCUAUUUCAACAAUGAAAUGGCCGAUGUGAUGAUCCUCAGGGAAUACAAAAAGCCUCCUAGCAGCCUUCUGUUAAAAACUUUUUGGUAGGGAUGAGUCUUUCUAGCUACUCUAAGACACAUCUGAUCAAUAAAACGCCCAUCCCGGAGCAGCAUCUUGGCCCUCCGGAGAUCAACGUUUAUAGCGGGCUCCUCUUGGACUCUCCCUCUCCCUUUCCCUAAAGGAGCGGGCAAGACCAGGCCUCACCGGAAAACAGCGCAGCCGACCGCCCUCCACCCCGGGAGCAGGGGCCGGGCUCCCCUCCCCCAGCCGAGGCCGGCGGAGUGCGGCGCUUUCAAAGGCCUGGAGCCUGGUACUCGGCGCAGCCGGCCCUGCAGCCUCGCUCGCCCCAUCCCGGCCCGCUCACCUCGACCCGGGCCGGCUCGGGGCCCUGCACAGCCACAGGCUGCGGCUGCAGCUGCUGGGCCGGCGCCGGCGGUUCUUUGUUCCGGUGGCUAAGGUCUUCAUCUGGGCCGGCCCGGACCGCAGCCGGGGCCCACAGCAGCGGAACCAGAAAGAGCAGAAGCAGCCGGGGCGCCGAUGCGCGGCCGUUCCCUGGAGCCGCGGCCGCCAUCCCGCCUGCCGGGCCGGCCGCGCACGGGCGCCGCAAGAGGAAGUGCCGGCGACGGGAAGCCUCGACCCCGAACAGCCUCCGCGGCGCGUCCUCACGACUCGCCGCCGCCGCCGCUUAGGGAGCAGUCAGCACCAUCCGGGAGGUGCAAGCAGCGGGAGUGAGGUGAGGGGCAGGCCGAAGUCCGCAGCCCCGGCUCGGCGCCCGUCCUCUCCGGCGGCGGCUAAACUGGAGUCAGCCAGCUGCCUCGGCGCGGCCCAGCCCCGACUCCUCCCGGCCCCGUCCCUGCCCGCGACGGCCUCCCAUUGGCCCGGCGACCGCCUUGGCGUCGUGACGUCCUCUGCCAGGUUGAGGUGCGGCGCGGGCCCUCCUCCCAUUGGAUCCGGCGCUCCCGGCAGGCCUACAGAAUUGGGCAUGAAACAGCAAAGGAUGGCCUCUGCUUCCACCACCAUCAGAAAUGUUAUAUUUUCACCAGUGCACCAUAAUGUAGCAGUCUCUCCAUAAUGUAGCAGGUGAGGUAUCACCUGGAGUUCUUCGUCUCAUGACCAAGAAAAUUAAGGAGCGUGGAUGCAAAGGAUGAAGUUGCAGCGAAAGUUUAAUAAGCAAAAGAAGAAAGCUCUCCACAGUGGAGAGGGGACCUGGAGGAGGGUUGCUGCUUUUACAGUAUCUUCCCUUGUGGACUACACCAGUGUCGAAAUGUUCUUGCUAAAAAUGAUGCAGGGAGAAAGACAAAGUUACAAAGUUGGCAUCCACAAUUUUUCCAUCUUGCCCCACUUCCCAAUUAAAAUGAAGGAAAAAAAAUUGGUGAGGUCUCCAUCCCUGUCUGAAGCAGGCAUCCAUUAUCCUGCCCAGGGGGUGACCUUUAUCUUCAUGGCCCAGUGUGACUGCAAGAGCUCUAGCAUCCAAGUUCCCAGCAGAAGGAUGGAGGACUGGCUGGAAAAACAAGGAGACACAGGGUAUGCAUCAGAUAUGAAAUUUAUGUCAUACAAUUUCUUUACCAAUAGAUAAGACUGAAAGCAACACCAGCCAGUCUUGGGAAAUAUAAAGUCACAAAUAAAUUUUGAUAAUUUUUCAUUUCGUAAAGGAUCUUUCUGCUGAUGCAGCUGUUA